GAUGAACGCUGGCGGCGUGCCUAAUACAUGCAAGUCGAGCGAACAGACGAGGAGCUUGCUCCUCUGACGUUAGCGGCGGACGGGUGAGUAACACGUGGAUAACCUACCUAUAAGACUGGGAUAACUUCGGGAAACCGGAGCUAAUACCGGAUAAUAUAUUGAACCGCAUGGUUCAAUAGUGAAAGACGGUUUUGCUGUCACCUAUAGAUAGAUCCGCGCCGCAUUAGCUAGUUGGUAAGGUAACGGCUUACCAAGGGAACGAUGCGUAGCCGACCUGAGAGGGUGAUCGGCCACACUGGAACUGAGACACGGUCCAGACUCCUACGGGAGGCAGCAGUAGGGAAUCUUCCGCAAUGGGCGAAAGCCUGACGGAGCAACGCCGCGUGAGUGAUGAAGGUCUUCGGAUCGUAAAACUCUGUUAUUAGGGAAGAACAAAUGUGUAAGUAACUAUGCACGUCUUGACGGUACCUAAUCAGAAAGCCACGGCUAACUACGUG
rnacentral:rRNA from 1 species